CCUACGUGAGGCAGCAGUGAGGAAUAUUGGUCAAUGGGCGCGAGCCUGAACCAGCCAAGUAGCGUGAAGGAUGACUGCCCUAGGGGUUGUAAACUUCUUUUAUAAAGGAAUAAAGUGAGGCACGUGUACCUUUUUGUAUUUACUUUAUGAAUAAGGAUAGGCUACCUCCGUGCCAGCAGCCGCGGUAAUACGGAGGAUGCGAGCGUUAUCCGGAUUUGUUGGGUUUAAAGGGUGUGUAGGCGGAGCGUUAAGUCAGGGGUAAAAUUGAGGGGCUCAACCCCUUCCCGCCAUUGAUACUGGCGCUCUUGAGUGGAAGAGAGGUAUGCGGAAUGCGUGGUGGAGCGGUGAAAUGCAUAGAUAUCACGCAGAACCCCGAUUGCGAAGGCAGCAUGCCGGCUUCCGACUGACGCUGAAGCACGAAAGCGUGGGGAUCGAACAGGAUUAGAUACCCGAGUAGUC
rnacentral:rRNA from 1 species